GCACUGCUGAGGAGUCCUACGAUAGGGCGAAACGGCCGUCCAGUGC
rfam:Schistosoma margrebowiei strain Zambia genome assembly, scaffold: SMRZ_scaffold0000984